GCAUGGGUGGCUCAGUCGGUUGAGCGUCUGACUUCGGCUCAGGUCAUGAUCUCACGGUUCGUGAGUUCGAGCCCCGUGUC
rnacentral:tRNA from 1 species